rnacentral:rRNA from 1 species
UAGUGGCAGACGGGUGAGUAAUAUAUAGGAAUCUACCUAGUAGUACGGAAUAAUUGUUGGAAACGGCAACUAAUACCGUAUACGCCCUACGGGGGAAAAAUUUAUUGCUAUUAGAUGAGCCUAUAUUAGAUUAGCUAGUUGGUGGAGUAAUAGCCUACCAAGGCAAUGAUCUAUAGUUGAUCUGAGAGGAUGAUCAGCCACACUGGAACUGAGAUACGGUCCAGACUCCUACGGGAGGCAGCAGUGGGGAAUAUUGGACAAUGGGCGAAAGCCUGAUCCAGCCAUGCCGCAUGAGUGAAGAAGGCCUUUGGGUUGUAAAGCUCUUUUAGUGAGGAAGAUAAUGACGGUACUCACAGAAGAAGUCCUGGCUAACUCCGUGCCAGCAGCCGCGGUAAUACGGAGAGGGCUAGCGUUAUUCGGAAUUAUUGGGCGUAAAGGGCGCGUAGGCUGGUUAGUAAGUUAAAAGUGAAAUCCCGAGGCUUAACCUUAGAACUGCUUUUAAAACUGCUAACCUAGAGAUUGAAAGAGGAUAGAGGAAUUCCUAGUGUAGAGGUGAAAUUCGUAAAUAUUAGGAGGAACACCAGUGGCGAAGGCGUCUAUCUGGUUCAAAUCUGACGCUGAGGCGCGAAGGCGUGGGGAGCAAACAGGAUUAGAUACCCUGGUAGUCCACGCUGUAAACGAUGAAUGUUAAAUAUGGGAAGUUUACUUUCUGUAUUACAGCUAACGCGUUAAACAUUCCGCCUGGGGACUACGGUCGCAAGAUUAAAACUCAAAGGAAUUGACGGGGACCCGCACAAGCGGUGGAGCAUGUGGUUUAAUUCGAUGCAACGCGAAAAACCUUACCACUCCUUG